AGAAGAAGAAAGAUGGCCUUCGUGAUGUGUGGAAGAGACAAUGCAGAUUACAAAAAAAGUUCAACAAAGAAAUUGAGAGACGGGAAAAUGAAAGACAGGAGAGAACCAGGAGUAGAGCAGAUUCCUGAGCAAUGGGUACUGCUGGUGAAGAGGUGUGUCCUGUUGGUAGGCCCCCAAGCAGUGUAGCCCAGGGUUAAUGCAGACCUACCAGAGGCCAUUCCAGACAUCACUAACUUGGACCCAGAGCAAAGGAGGAAUCUGCU